rnacentral:scRNA from 1 species
AGAUGUGUGCUGAAUUCAAGAACCCGCAAGGC